rnacentral:rRNA from 1 species
UACAGAGGGUGCGAGCGUUAAUCGGAAUUACUGGGCGUAAAGCGAGUGUAGGCGGUCUGUAAAGUCGGGUGUGAAAGCCCCGGGCUCAACCCGGGAAGUGCACUCGAAACUCACAGGCUAGAGUAUCGGAGAGGUUGGUGGAAUUCUCGGUGUAGAGGUGAAAUUCGUAGAUAUCGAGAGGAACACCGGUGGCGAAGGCGGCCAACUGGACGAAUACUGACGCUGAGACUCGAAAGCGUGGGGAGCAAACAGG